ACAACGAGGCGGAGACGAUAGGCGACGCGUGCCAAAUCAUGCGAGUGGAAUUGGAGAAAUUUAAAAAAUAUUCUAAAUUUAAUUACCCCACCGUGGACGACCCUCGGUCUUUCGAAAUCGUGCGGGCUGCCAAUGCUAGUGUUGAAAAAUAGCCAAUUGACGAAUCGUCGCUCGAAGCGUGAUCGGAGAUCGCUUUGGCGCAAGAACGAAUCAAAAUGGCUCUCUAUUGAAAACGCUGAAGUACGAGAGUGAGACAGAUCUCAUAAAGCGACAAGUAAUUUGCAUUCAGACUGCAGUUGUUCGAUCAGACAUUCCCGAGAGAAGCGAAAUGGAAGAAAGGCAAGAGAGGAAUCCCAUGAUUCCCCGAGUCUCGGGCGUCGAUGGAAAAUAGUGGCGCGCUUAAAUAGUAGCCCGGGCUCGUUACGCGUUCGUCUAACCGCCUUGUUAAGCUAACAGUCGUAUAACCGCGCCCGAGGAAUAUUCAAAGUUAUUGGAUACGCGAUCUCGUAAAUCACGGGGUGCUCACGCGGUACUUUGUAAAACUUCGGAAUGCAUCGUACUGCGCGUGGAUGAGAGAAAAAUCGGCGUGCGGGCGCGCUCGCGCGCAUCAAGGAUACUACCUUCCCCGGUACACGUGUGUGCAUACAUGUGUGUAUGGAGUAUAUGACGCGCAUAGAGCAAGCUCGUUGUGCCAGUUUGUCGUAAAUUUCCGUUAACGAGCCGGCCGCACCGGAGAGUCCGUGGCUCGAUCGCCGGGCGCGCGCUUUUCUCAGGCGCAACAUGGCAGGAGAGACAAAAAACCGCCCCGCGAAGAAAUAUGAAGCUGAGAACCCAUUGCGCGCGCGCGGAGUCAUAAUUUUCCCCUCGCGGAAAUGAAAUUGUUUAUUGGCGUGCCGUUAUUAACGCGGACAGAUAACCGACCGCCGUUGCCAUCCCCCUCGAUCCGGACCUGGCUAGCUGUUGGCAUCGCCAAUGCGUAAUGCGGCUCAUGUUUAUCACGCGCGCCGCUACUUCAAAUUCGAAACAGAUGAAGACGGAUGAACGCGCGGGAGUCGCGGGAGUCGUUUUAUUAACCGCCGGCCAGACCCGAGCGAAGUCGAACGAGUGAAAGGAGGACUUAAUUCUCUAGAAAGCUAACACGAAACGAUUAACGCUAAUCUGGUCUUACGCAGCGCGGUUACCAGAAGAUUACAUGACCAGCAGGCGGAAAGCACAAUAUUACAUUGGUCAUUAGCAGUUGAUGUGAACUUUAUUAAUCGGACAGCCAUAAAUAAAAUAUCAAUGUGCGAACGGCAAGAUGACCGUUUUGCAAUCGCAGUUUGUCUUUUUUGUCGGAAAAUUGCUGAUAAACGCCAGUGGUUUUAGUAUUCUUAGUAUUGAUAACUUUCACGUAAUUUAUUUCGCGUUAUUCGCAAAUCGGUCUAGUGUCGCUUAUCGUUUGUUUAAUUUAUUUCCAUUAUAUAUCACAAUUCAAUUGGCGCUGACGUUUUUACAAUUGUCGAUGACUGCGACAAAUCGCUACCCUUUGACCUUAUUCGACCACCAAUAGGGGUAAUCGAUUUCCAAUGUUUCAUCACCGACUUUCAUCAUCGACAGAUUUCCCCGAUGUCGAGUCUCUUUAUUUCUUCAUCGUCCCCCGCGUCCCGGAAAAUUCGCUGAAUGAAGCUAUGAAUCGCGCGGGGAAUAGAGGCGAUCUCUCUUUCUCUCUCGAUCACGGGAAUCGAAUUUCUUGUUUUGACAGCGGAUCGCCGAUCCGUGGCGAGCCGCGUUUUGUCGUGCACGCCAAAAAGUUUUUCGAAAGUCGAACAAAGAGACGCGAGAAAGAGGAUCCGCGAGGAACAAACCGGCGCGGCACGGCGGUUUCCCCUUCCGGCUAUUUGAAUUUGUAGAAAGGGUUCGCUUCUGUUUAUUUUUUGGGGGCCAAUGGAGGGAGAAAUCGUGUGCGUGCAACGAGGGGGUAGAUUGCGCGCGCUUAUAUCGGGCCUAAUGUUACACACACGGCGUUUCCCCUCGUAAAAACUUUUGCGCGUCCUACGUAAGUAUAAGCUCACGAGGGAGUUCGCUUUAGUGUAAAAACCCGGGGGGCUAGAUGUGAAAAACUGGAGGAACGGUACCAAGUGCCAGAGUACAAUUUCACUCGGCUUCGAACCUUUGUCUCCGACAACAAGAUGAAUUCUUCGUAUUAUCUAUGCUUGUCAAACACUUAACAUCGACGUACUUACAUUACGUGCGAUCGUAUCAGAACAUUCUGUCACAUAUGUACAUUAUAUAACGGAAAUCAUAGAAUGGCGAAAUUCCAUAAGAAACAAAUAAAACAAAUACUAUCAAAA